rnacentral:rRNA from 1 species
UGCAAAAUUGGUGCUGCUACGGACAUGUCAAGCGGAAGAAGGGAGCUUGCUCCCCGAGGGUAGCGAAUGACGGGCGAAUAACACGUGGGUAACCUGCCUGUAAGACUGGGAUAACUCCGGGAAACCGGAGCUAAUGCCGGAUUACUCCUUGAACCGCACGGUUCAAGGAUGAAAGACGGUUUCGGCUGUCACUUACAGAUGGACCCGCGGCGCAUUAGCUAGUUGGUGAGGUAACGGCUCACCAAGGCGACGAUGCGUAGCCGACCUGAGAGGGUGAUCGGCCACACUGGGACUGAGACACGGCCCAGACUCCUACGGGAGGCAGCAGUAGGGAAUCUUCCGCAAUGGACGAAAGUCUGACGGAGCAACGCCGCGUGAGUGAUGAAGGUUUUCGGAUCGUAAAGCUCUGUUGUUAGGGAAGAACAAGUGCAAGAGUAACUGCUUGCACCUUGACGGUACCUAUCCAGGAAGGCACGGGUAAGUAAGUGCCAGCGGCCGCGGGAAUGCGUGGGUGG